GACAGAGGUGCCGAGCGUUAGGCGGAAUCACUGGGCUUAAAGCGUGUGUAGGCGGAGUGCUAAGUACCUUGUGAAAUCCCACGGCUUAACCGUGGAACUGCUUGGUAUACUGGUUCUCUCGGGUCAUCUAGGGGCGAGCGGAACAAACGGUGGAGCGGUGAAAUGCGUAGAUAUCGUUUGGAACGCCAAUGGUGAAAACAGCUCGCUGGGGAUGCACCGACGCUGAGACACGAAAGCCAGGGGAGCGAACGGG
rnacentral:rRNA from 1 species